GGAUGUAAAAUUGUUAAUUGAUGAUGUUGGGGAACUAAAACCAACUAUUUUCUGUGUUGUUCCCCGUGUGCUUGAUAGAGUGUACUCAGGUUUGACACAGAAGAUUUCUUUUGGGGGCUUCUUGAGGAAGACAUUAAAGAAAGACAGUAGAAUCUCCUUUUAUGUUUAUUAUUAUUUUCAAAACUCAAAAAGAAAGACAGAUUUGAACUGUAAUUAUGUUUAUGUAUGAACAUGCGCACACAGUAGAAUCUCCUUUUAUGUU